rnacentral:rRNA from 1 species
ACGGGAGGCAGCAGUGGGGAAUAUUGCACAAUGGGGGAAACCCUGAUGCAGCGACGCCGCGUGAGUGAAGAAGUAUUUCGGUAUGUAAAGCUCUAUCAGCAGGGAAGAAAAUGACGGUACCUGACUAAGAAGCUCCGGCUAAAUACGUGCCAGCAGCCGCGGUAAUACGUAGGUGGCAAGCGUUGUCCGGAUUUACUGGGUGUAAAGGGAGCGCAGGCGGGAAAGCAAGUCAGCUGUGAAAUAUACAGGCUUAACCUGUAGACUGCAGUUGAAACUGUUUUUCCUGAGUGGAGUAGAGGUAAGCGGAAUUCCGAGUGUAGCGGUGAAAUGCGUAGAGAUUCGGAGGAACACCAGUGGCGAAGGCGGCUUACUGGGCUCUAACUGACGCUGAGGCUCGAAAGUGUGGGGAGCAAACAGGAUUAGAUACCCUGGUA